AGAUACGCGAAAAACCUUACCAGGCCUUGACAUCCCAUGCAAUGCUAUAGAGAUAUAGUGGAGGUUACCAUGGAGACAGGUGGUGCAUGGUUGUCGUCAGCUCGUGUCGUGAGAUGUUGGGUUAAGUCCCGCAACGAGCGCAACCCUUAUUGCUAGUUGCCAUCAUUUAGUUGGGGACUCUAGCGAGACUGCCGGUGACAAACUGGAGGAAGGUGGGGAUGACGUCAAAUCAUCAUGCCCCUUAUGGCCUGGGCUACAAACGUGAUACAAUGGGUGCUACAAAGGGCAGCGAAGCCGUGAGGUGGAGCGAAACCCAUAAAAGCACUCUCAGUUCGGAUUGAAGUCUGCAACUCGACUUCAUGAAGUUGGAAUCGCUAGUAAUCGCAAAUCAGAAUGUUGCGGUGAAUACGUUCUCGGGGUUUGUACACACCGCCCGUCAAACCACGAAAGUCAGCAAUACCCAAAGCCGGUGGCCUAACCGUAAGGAGGGAGCCGUUUAAGGUAGGGUUGAUGAUUGGGGUUAAGUCGUAACAAGGUAACCAAGGGC
rnacentral:rRNA from 1 species